rnacentral:rRNA from 1 species
GGAGUUAAGAAAUGUAGAUACGCUAAUAUCGUAUCUAUUUGACAAAGGCUCCAAAGGAAGCCACGGCUAACUCUGUGCCAGCAGCCGCGGUAAUACAGAGGUGGCAAGCGUUGUUCGGAAUUAUUGGGCGUAAAGAGCACGUAGGUGGAUUUGUAAGUCAGAUGUGAAAGCCUUCUGUUCAACGGAAGAAUUGCAUCUGAAACUACAAACCUUGAGUAUAGGAGGGGAGAGUGGAACUUCUGGU